GUGAUUUUCAUUUUUUUCUUUUGUUUAAUAUAAGUAUAAAUACCCUUAACUUAGUACUUAGUUAAAGCACCUUUGGCGGUGAUUAUAGCCUCAAGUCUUUUUGGGGUAUGAUGGGACAAGCUUUGAACACUUGGAUUUGUGUAGGGUACCAUUUAUCUCUGCAGAUCAUCUUGCAUUGUUGUGGCUGUGUCCUUUGGGUCAUUGUCCUGUUGGAAGGUAAACCUUCUGCCCAGCCAGAGUUUCCAUAGACAAGACACUUUGAAUUGAGGACAUAACAGUUCAUCUUUGUUUCAACAAACCAUAUAAUCUUGUUUCUCAGAGACUUUAGGUACUUUUUUUGCAAAUUCCAAGCUGGCUUUUAUGUGUGUUGCAUUGAGUGGAGGUUUCUGUCUGGCCAGUGUGCCAUAAAGGGCUGGAGAAUUACAGUGAUGGUUAUUCUUCUGCAAGUUUCUCCCAUCUUCUCACAUAAUCUCUGGAACUCAUUGGAGCCCCAUUGGGUUAUUAGUCACCUCUCUUACCAAGGUCCUUCCCUCUCAAUUGCUCAAUUCGAGGUGUAGUAGUUGUUCCAAACUUCUUCCAUGUAAGAUUAUUGAGGUUACUGUGCUCAUGGGAACCUUUAAUACAGGGAAAUAGUUUGUAGCCCUCCCCAGAUCUGUGCCUUGACAGAAUCCUGUCCCUGAGCUCUGCAGUCAGUUUAUUUGGCCUCAUGGCUUGUUUUGUUCUCUGAAAUGCAGGUACAGCUUUAAGUCCAUGUAUAAACAGGUUUGUUUUUCUUUUCAAAGCAUCUCCAACUAACUGGUGGACACACCAGUGGCUUCAAUCAAAGUGUAGAAACAUCUAUGAGGAUCCAGAGAAAUCAGAUGCAUCUGAUUAAUUUAAAGUGUCGUAGCAAAGGGUCUGAAUACCUAUGUCAAUGUGAUACUUCAGUCUUUUCACUUUAAUACAUUUGCAAAGUAUUCAAAAAAUCUGUUGUUUUUUUCAGCAUUGUCAUUAUGUAACAUUGAGCAUAGAUUUAUGUGGCAUAAUUUAACCACUUAAGGACAUGAUAGUCUCUACUGAGAGCUUCAUGAAAUAUAUAGUGUACCUUUUACCAGAACUCUCUGCCUAUUACCAGAAUCUGCAAGAUACAUACCUCCCAAGUGUCCCUAUUUAGGAAGGACAGACCCAAAUUUGGGCCCAAAUC